CGGGGUGUGGCGCAGCUUGGUAGCGCGCUUCGUUCGGGACGAAGAGGUCGUGGGUUCGAAUCCCGCCACCCCGACCA
rnacentral:tRNA from 37 species